rfam:West Nile virus RNA, complete genome.
ACGCGGCCAUAACCCUGGCUAUGGUGUUAACCAGGGAGAAGGGACUAGAGGUUAGAGGAGACCCCGCGUAAAAA